UAUAUGUAAGGAUGUGGUCGAUCAUCAUGUCUACACUGAUACAGACGGUCCAGUGAUGAGUGACUGAAGAAGAUGAGCUCACAGUUUGACUGAGAAUAUAUCUUUAAAUUGUAGUUUAAACUUUCGAUGUUGUGUUGUUUUGCCAGUUCUACUAUUUCCAGGCGUGGAUUCACUCACUUUUAGAGAUUAUUUAAAGAAGCUUGUCUGUGCUCAUGAUUGAUAAUCAAAUAUCAUGUCAAUUAUAAUAAAGAAGCAAGAUACCAAAUUCAA